rnacentral:rRNA from 1 species
GAUAGUCUGGUUUAAAUAAGAAGUCGUAAAGAUGCCUCUGCAUAUGCAUUCGUCCGAGGAUGAGCCCGCGUCUCAUUAGCUAGUUGGUAGGGUAAUGGCCUACCAAGGCAACGAUGAGUAGCUGGUCUGAGAGGAUGAUCAGCCACACUGGAACUGAAACACGGUCCAGACUCUACGGGAGGCAGCAGUGGGGAAUAUUGCGCAAUGGGCGAAAGCCUGACGCAGCAACGCCGUGUGAGGGAUGAAGGCUUUCGGGUCGUAAACCUCUGUCGGAAGGGAAGAACGGGCAUUGGUCUAAUAGGCCUUUGUUUUGACGGUACCUUUAGAGGAAGCACCGGCUAACUCCGUGCCAGCAGCCGCGGUAAUACGGAGGGUGCAAGCGUUAUUCGGAAUUACUGGGCGUAAAGCGCACGUAGGCGGCCUUGUAAGUCAGGGGUGAAAUCCCACGGCUCAACCGUGGAACUGCCUUUGAAACUGCAGGGCUUGAAUCCUGGAGAGGGUGGCGGAAUUCCUGGUGUAGGAGUGAAAUCCGUAGAUAUCAGGAGGAACACCGGUGGCGAAGGCGGCCACCUGGACAGGUAUUGACGCUGAGGUGCGAAAGUGUGGGGAGCAAACAGGAUUAGAUACCCUGGUAGUCCACACCGYAAACGAUGGAUACUAGGUGHCGGGGACU